AUGCAGGUCUUCACAGACGGCUCUGUCGGCUCCGCCGUGGCCGCGUGUCCCGGAGAGCGGCACCGCUCAGCGGUCUCCGUGCUUAGAGUCCCCUUGAGCGGGGUUUCGCCUCCGCCCCUGGCCCGGGAGACAGUCCAGCGCAGCCCCGUGUUUGUCCCUGAGGCGGGACAGGUGCCGAGCCCGGGAGAGCAGAGCGGCUGGAGAGCGCCUGGGGCCUGCCGGCGACAGGCUCCGGGUCUGGCUGGAGUGCGGACACCGUCGGGGCUCCGGCGGGGGCGGUGGCUCUGGAAGAGCCAAGCCGGAAGCCAACCACUCAGGAGCCCAUCCAGUACCACCUGCCCUGUGCGCAAGUGACCACGGACAAAUCCCUGCAGGACCCCUUGGGCUGUUGUGCCCCAUCGGAGCGAUGGGCCCUCUCACCUCCCCAGAGCCGCCAGGUUUGAAGCAAAACCCUCAAGGUGGAGGGAUUCAAAUGACCUCACCAGUUUUUAUUUUUCUCCUUGAAGAGAAAGCUUUUAAAAUCUCCUUUGUAUCCAACAGUCCUUUUUGGCUUUUUCUCUCUAAUGUAUAAUCUGUAUUUCAACAAGCGUGCUGAGACUCUCUGCCUGGUAGAGACGCUAUUUAUGUGUUUUUAUUUUAUUACAAAAAUGAAUAGAAACACAGUUUUGCUUUAUGCAAUGAAUGUUUAUAUGACAGUCUUUCUUUUUUUUUUUUUUUAAGAUUUUUAUUUUGAAAAGAAGUGAACACAAGCGAGGAAAGGAGCAGAGGGAGAGGGAGAAGCAGAUUCCUCACUGAGCAGGGAGCCCAGUGCGGAGCUCGAUCCCAGGACCCUGAGAUCAUGACCUGAGCUGAAGGCAGACACUUAACCACUGAGCCACCCGGGUGCCCCUAUAUCACAGUCUUUAAAAUGAAUUAUAUUUUAAAAUGUAUUAGAAGAGCUAGAUUUUUAAGUCCUCUCUAUGCUCAGCAUGGGGCUUGAAGUCCUGACCUUGAGACUGAGUCACAUGCUCUGUCGACUGGGCCAGCCGGGGGCUCCUAGAAGAGCAACAUCUUUAAAGGACCCUUCCCAGAAGUUCUUUAGUGAAGAAAUUCUCAGGUACUUUAGAUUUUCUUUAAAAGCAGGAAUGAUUAUUGACGAGAAGAAUAUGUCACCCCAAAAGAUGCCACUUUCACAUGUGGAUUAGUUCGAGCUGAAGGCAAUCAAGACCCAGCAGAUGCAAGAAAAAUUCUUACCUCUCAACUUCCUAGAGGAGUUUGGAUAGGGGGCCUGGCUCAGAGGGAGCGGUUACCAGCUGUAAACUUUUACCUGCGUGACCUGCCAUCCUGCGAAUGCUCCCGUCCCCUUCCUCCGCUC
rnacentral:lncRNA from 1 species